rnacentral:rRNA from 1 species
GACGAACGCUGGCGGCGUGCUUAACACAUGCAAGUCGUACGGUAAGGCCCUUUCGGGGGUACACGAGUGGCGAACGGGUGAGUAACACGUGAGUAACCUGCCCACAACUUUGGGAUAACGCUAGGAAACUGGUGCUAAUACUGGAUAUGUGCUCCUGCUGCAUGGUGGGGGUUGGAAAGCUCCGGCGGUUGUGGAUGGACUCGCGGCCUAUCAGCUUGUUGGUGGGGUAGUGGCCUACCAAGGCGGCGACGGGUAGCCGGCCUGAGAGGGUGACCGGCCACAUUGGGAAUGAGAUACGGCCCAGACUCCUACGGGAGGCAGCAGUGGGGAAUAUUGCACAAGGGGCGCAAGCCUGAUGCAGCAACGCCGCGUGCGGGAUGACGGCCUUCGGGUUGUAAACCGCUUUCAGCAGGGACGAAGCUUUUUGUGACGGUACCUGCAGAAGAAGCACCGGCUAACUACGUG